GGCAUCGCUUCUCGGCCUUUUGGCUAAGAUCAAGUGGAGUCUGGAGCCGGGGCUUGCUCCGUCCACUCCACGCAUCGGCCUGGUGUUGCAGUG